rnacentral:rRNA from 1 species
CAUAACCUUUAGCCACAAUAUAAAUAUUAAGGCAACGCCUGCCCAGUGAACAAUUCANCGGCCGCGGUACCCUAACCGUGCAAAGGUAGCAUAAUCACUUGUCUAUUAAUUGUAGACUAGCAUGAAAGGCAAAAUGAGAGUCUAACUGUCUCUUUUAGUCAAUCAAUUAAACUGAUCUCCUAGUAAAAAAGCUAGAAUAUUUACAUAAGACCAGAAGACCCUGCGAAGCUAAACAAACUAUAAAUCACAUAAUAGCUACUUUCGGUGGGCGACUGAAAAAAAAGAAUUCCAAACACAAUGAUUUAUCAUAAUNUAAGGCCCACAAGGCAUAACUAGACCAGCUAAGCUGAUAAUUGAACCAAGUUACUCCAGGGAUAACAGCGCUAUCUACUUCCAGAGCCCAUAUCAAAAAGAAGGUUU